AACAAUGCCCCUUUAUUGUAUUUUUUUUUAUUGACCCUACAGGAUGCCCGAUGGUAACCAGCCUUCCAAGUGGCUGAGCAGAUGCCAGUGUACCUGAAUUCUGAGACAUUGCUUUUAAGAUUCCCAAUUCGAGAUGAUGUGCAGUUCAUAUUAGAUUUGCUAUUUUUAGAGUUAUAGUGAAGUAGAAGAGUCCGGUCGUGUUAUACGGCAGCAGUUCAACGAGAAGGAUGAAGAGAUGUGUGCCUUGUUGAAGUAGCAGCUGCCACUCUUGCCUGGCACAUCUAGAAUCUUCCAUCUCAAUCCCUGCUCUGAUCUGCUGUGCCUUUGCCAAGUGAUAUUGAGUUUAUUGCAAUGGUGCCCCCUGCAUCUCCACCGUCUGUUAAGUCAACCCCAACUGCCUGUAAUAGAAGAAAAGUUCACAAGACAUCCUGAAAAGGAAUUGUGAUUGGAGUGAGACGGCCACAAUUAUGUAUGCUGGGAUGUGCAGAGGUGGUGUGUUUGCGCUUUGACUUGGGACCCCCAGAGGUUUAUAAUCUACAGAAUCCUUGAAGGCUGCAAGUUUGUCCUUGUUCUCGACCA